rnacentral:rRNA from 1 species
GAGUUUGAUCAUGGCUCAGAACGUACGCUGGCGGCACGCCUAACACAUGCAAGUCGAACGAAGUAGCAAUACUUAGUGGCAGACGGGUGAGUAACAUGUAGGUAUCUGCCCUUUGGCCUGGAAUAACACGAGGAAACUUGUGCUAAUACCGGAUAAGUCUUUACGGAGAAAGCUUUAUGCACCAUUGGAUGAGCCUGCACUUGAUUAGUUUGUUGGUGGGGUAAUGGCCUACCAAGACUGUGAUCAAUAGCUGAUUUGAGAGGAUGAUCAGCCACAUUGGGACUGAGACACGGCCCAAACUCCUACGGGAGGCAGCAGUGGGGAAUAUUGCACAAUGGAGGAAACUCUGAUGCAGCGAUGCCGCGUGAGUGAAGAAGGCCCUUGGGUUGUAAAGCUCUUUCGUCGGGGAAGAAAAUGACUGUACCCGAAUAAGAAGGUCCGGCUAACUUCGUGCCAGCAGCCGCGGUAAUACGAAGGGACCUAGCGUAGUUCGGAAUUACUGGGCUUAAAGAGUUCGUAGGUGGUUGAAAAAGUUGGUGGUGAAAUCCCAGAGCUUAACUCUGGAACUGCCAUCAAAACUUUUCAGCUAGAGUAUGAUAGAGGAAAGCAGAAUUUCUAGUGUAGAGGUGAAAUUCGUAGAUAUUAGAAAGAAUACCAAUUGCGAAGGCAGCUUUCUGGAUCAUUACUGACACUGAGGAACGAAAGCAUGGGUAGCGAAGAGGAUUAGAUACCCUCGUAGUCCAUGCCGUAAACGAUGUGUGUUAGACGUUGGAAAUUUAUUUUCAGUGUCGCAGCGAAAGCGAUAAACACACCGCCUGGGGAGUACGACCGCAAGGUUAAAACUCAAAUGAAUUGACGGGGACCCGCACAAGUAGUGGAGCAUGUGGUUUAAUUCGAAGAUACGCGCAGAACCUUACCAACACUUGACAUGUUCGUCGCGACUUUAAGAGAUUAAAGUUUUCGGUUCGGCCGGACGAAACACAGGUGCUGCAUGGCUGUCGUCAGCUCGUGUCGUGAGAUGUUGGGUUAAGUCCCGCAACGAGCGCAACCCUCACUUUUAGUUGCCAUCAUUAAGUUGGGCACUCUGAAAGAACUGCCAGUGAUAAGCUGGAGGAAGGUGGGGAUGACGUCAAGUCCUCAUGGCCCUUACGUGUUGGGCUACACACGUGCUACAAUGGUAUCUACAACAGGAAGCGAGACGGCGACGUCAAGCAAAUCCUUAAAAGAUACCUCAGUUCGGAUUGCACUCUGCAACUCGAGUGCAUGAAGCUGGAAUUACUAGUAAUCGUGGAUCAGCGUGCCACGGUGAAUGCGU